UACGGAGGGUGCAAGCGUUGCUCGGAAUUAUUGGGCGUAAAGGGUAGGUAGGUGGUCUCAUUUGUCUGAGGUGAAAGCCUUGAGCUUAACUCAAGAAGUGCCUUAGAAACGGUGAGACUGGAGUCUUGGAGAGGGUCGUGGAAUUCCCGGUGUAGCGGUGAAAUGCGUAGAGAUCCGGAGGAACACCAGCGGCGAAGGCGGCAUCCUGGACUGGUCCUGACACUCAUGAGCGAAAGCGUGGGGAGCGAUCCGG
rnacentral:rRNA from 1 species